rnacentral:lncRNA from 1 species
AUGGAAGAGAGAUGUAGAAUCACUAGUCCUGGUUCAACCAGUCCAUUACAAUCACCAUUACAGGUCCAUUACAAUCACCAUUACAGGUCCAUUACAAUCACCUUUACAGGUCCAUUACAAUCACCAUUACAGGUCCAUUACAUUCACCAUUACAGGUCCAUUACAAUCACCUUUACAGGUCCAUUGCAAGCACCUUUACAGGUCCAUUACAAUCACCAUUACAGGUCCAUUACAAUCACCUUUACAGGUCCAUUACAAUCACCUUUACAGGUCCAUUACAAUCACCUUUACAGGUCCAUCACAAUCACCAUUACAGGUCCAUUACAAUCACCAUUACAGGUCCAUUACAAUCACCAUUACAGGUCCAUUACAAUCACCUUUACAGGUCCAUUACAAUCACCAUUACAGGUCCAUUACAAUCACCAUUACAAUCACCUUUACAGGUCCAUUACAAUCACCUUUAAAGGUCCAUUACAAUCACCAUUACAGGUCCAUUACAAUCACCAUUACAAUCACCAUUACAGGUCCAUUACAAUCACCAUUACAGGUCCAUUACAAUCACCUUUACAGGUCCAUUACAAUCACCAUUACAGGUCCAUUACAAUCACCAUUACAGGUCCAUUACAUUCACCAUUACAGGUCCAUUACAAUCACCUUUACAGGUCCAUUACAAUCACCUUUACAGGUCCAUUACAAUCACCAUUACAAUCACCAUUACAGGUCCAUUACAAUCACCAUUGCAAUCACCUUUACAGGUCCAUUACAAUCACCUUUAAAGGUCCAUUACAAUCACCAUUACAGGUCCAUUACAAUCACCAUUACAAUCACCAUUACAGGUCCAUUACAAUCACCAUUACAGGUCCAUUACAAUCACCUUUACAGGCUAUGUUGUUGAAGAAUAGUAUUUUUGUGUGUUUAUGUAUUCGUUUUCCAGUAUUCAUCCACUCCCUCUACUAAUCCCUAAUGCUCUCUGAGGUAACUGAACAGUGAUUUCCAUCUGGUAUUUAUGCAUCCAUGUGUGUUUGUGUUUGUCCAGUUAUGACCCAAACAGCUACAAAUGUUUGAAUGUGACUUCCUUUUCCCAGUUCCCACAACCCCCCACUACACUUCUCUUGCACAUAUUCCCAACCUCGAUUCCUAAAAGGGCCUUCAUGUGUCCCUCGGUUUCCACUCCAGCCAAUAUCCCCCGGCCUAAUUGGUUCAAUUAGUUACUUCCCCUUCGUCUGCAUUGGUGCCGGUGUUAAACCCUCUAUGCAGAUUAUAGUGGUGAUGUAACUCUCUUUCUAAUUUACACACCCUUCAACACAUUAUUGUCUUAUUGAACCAAUGGUAUUGAUAAAGAUAAUGUACUCUUGAUUAGGACUUAAGGGGAAAAAAACAACACACACACACACACACACACACACACACUUUCAUUGCCUCUUAGUCUCUUAGUCUAAUCUAGAGCGACACUAGCAAUAACCUCGUAAUAUUAUUUAACACCAUUAUCUGGGACAGUUACUACUACAAUAUCCCAAUUCAACCCAUGGGUAUUCCCACAGAGUGAGUGGACUGCAUAAUCUGGCUACUACUGAAUAUACAUGAUGUACUGUAUAGUAAUUGAUUUUGCUUCACAACUUAUUCUCCUCUACUGCAUGUGAGGAACAGUCAUAAGUUGUAGUUGUUGUUGUGGUAAUUGUCUCAGUGGGUUAAACUGCUAUCCUUGACCCAUGACUACAUGAGACUGGGUGGCCAGAGGACAGGCAUUCACAGCAGAGGAGU